rnacentral:tRNA from 1 species
ACUAUUUUGGCAGAUUAGUGCGGUAAAUUUAGAAUUUAUUUAUGUAAUUUAAUAUUACAGAUAGUA